GACCCGUGGCGAACAGCUCAGUAACACGUGGCCAAACUACCCUGUAGAUCAGCAUAACCUCGGGAAACUGAGGCUAAUACUGAAUAAAGCUCCCAUCAUGGAAUGGAGGGAGCUGGAAACGCUCAGGCGCUACGGGAUGUGGCUGCGGUCGAUUAGGUAGACGGUGGGGUAACGGCCCACCGUGCCGAUAAUCGGUACAGGUUGUGAGAGCAAGAGCCUGGAGACGGAAUCUGAGACAAGAUUCCGGGCCCUACGGGGCGCAGCAGGCGCGAAACCUUUACACUGCACGAAAGUGCGAUAAGGGGAUCCCGAGUGCGAGGGCAUACAGUCCUCGCUUUUGUGUACCGUAAGGUGGUACACGAAUAAGAGCUGGGCAAGACCGGUGCCAGCCGCCGCGGUAAUACCGGCAGCUCGAGUGAUGGCCGCUAUUAUUGGGCCUAAAGCGUCCGUAGCCGGCCGAACAGGUCCGUUGGGAAAUCCAUCUGCCUAACAGAUGGGCGUCCAGCGGAAACCAGUCGGCUUGGGGCCGGAAGACCUGAGGGGUACGUCCGGGGUAGGAGUGAAAUCCUGUAAUCCUGGACGGACCGCCGGUGGCGAAAGCGCCUCAGGAGGACGGACCCGACGGUGAGGGACGAAAGCUAGGGUCACGAACCGGAUUAGAUACCCGGGUAGUCCUAGCUGU
rnacentral:rRNA from 1 species